rnacentral:rRNA from 1 species
CGGCGGACGGGUGAGUAACGCGUGGGUAACCUGCCUCAUCAGGGGGAUAACAGUUGGAAACGGCUGCUAAUACCGCAUAAGCGCACAGUACCGCAUGGUACGGUGUGAAAAACUCCGGUGGUAUGAGAUGGACCCGCGUCUGAUUAGGUAGUUGGUGGGGUAACGGCCUACCAAGCCGACGAUCAGUAGCCGACCUGAGAGGGUGCCGGCACAUUGGGACUGAGACACGGCCCAA